rnacentral:rRNA from 1 species
AUUGAACGCUGGCGGCAGGCCUAACACAUGCAAGUCGAACGGUAGCACAGAGAGCUUGCUCUCGGGUGACGUGUGGCGGACGGGUGAGUAACGUCUGGGAAACUGCCCGAUGGAGGGGGAUAACUACUGGAAACGGUAGCUAAUACCGCACAACGUCGCAAGACCAAAGUGGGGGACCUUCGGGCCUCACACCAUCGGAUGUGCCCAGAUGGGAUUAGCUAGUAGGUGGGGUAAUGGCUCACCUAGGCGACGAUCCCUAGCUGGUCUGAGAGGAUGACCAGCCACACUGGAACUGAGACACGGUCCAGACUCCUACGGGAGGCAGCAGUGGGGAAUAUUGCACAAUGGGCGCAAGCCUGAUGCAGCCAUGCCGCGUGUAUGAAGAAGGCCUUCGGGUUGUAAAGUACUUUCAGCGGGGAGGAAGGCGGUGAAGUUAAUAGCUUCACCGAUUGACGUUACCCGCAGAAGAAGCACCGGCUAACUCCGUGCCAGCCGCCGCAGUAA